rnacentral:rRNA from 1 species
CGCGUAUGCAAUCUACCUCUUUACGAGGGAUAGCCCAGAGAAAUUUGGAUUAAUACCUCAUAGCAUAGCAGCUUCGCAUGAAGUCACUAUUAAAGUUCCAACGGUAAAAGAUGAGCAUGCGUCCUAUUAGCUAGAUGGUAAGGUAACGGCUUACCAUGGCUACGAUAGGUAGGGGUCCUGAGAGGGAGAUCCCCCACACUGGUACUGAGACACGGACCAGACUCCUACGGGAGGCAGCAGUGAGGAAUAUUGGACAAUGGGCGCAAGCCUGAUCCAGCCAUGCCGCGUGCAGGAAGAAGCAUCUAUGGUGUGUAAACUGCUUUUGUACGGGAAGAAACACUCCUACGUGUAGGAGCUUGACGGUACCGUAAGAAUAAGGAUCGGCUAACUCCG